rnacentral:rRNA from 1 species
AGCGAACGCUGGCGGCAGGCUUAACACAUGCAAGUCGAACGCCCGGGCAACCGGGAGUGGCAGACGGGUGAGUAACACGUGGGAACGUACCCUUUGGUUCGGAAUAACUCAGGGAAACUUGAGCUAAUACCGGAUAAGCCCUUACGGGGAAAGAUUUAUCGCCGAAGGAUCGGCCCGCGUCCGAUUAGCUAGUUGGUGUGGUAACGGCUCACCAAGGCGACGAUCGGUAGCUGGUCUGAGAGGAUGAUCAGCCACACUGGGACUGAGACACGGCCCAGACUCCUACGGGAGGCAGCAGUGGGGAAUAUUGGACAAUGGGGGCAACCCUGAUCCAGCCAUGCCGCGUGAGUGAUGAAGGCCCUAGGGUUGUAAAGCUCUUUCGGCGGGACGAUAAUGACGGUACCCGCAGAAGAAGCCCCGGCUAACUUCGUG